GAUGAACGCUAGCGGCAGGCUUAACACAUGCAAGUCGAGGGGUAUAGUAGCAAUACUAGAGACCGGCGCACGGGUGCGUAACGCGUAUGCAACCUACCUUUUACAGAGGGAUAGCCCAGAGAAAUUUGGAUUAAUACCUCAUAGUGUUAUUAGAUGGCAUCAUUUGAUAACUAAAGUUCCAACGGUAAAAGAUGGGCAUGCGUCCUAUUAGCUAGAUGGUAAGGUAACGGCUUACCAUGGCUACGAUAGGUAGGGGUCCUGAGAGGGAGAUCCCCCACACUGGUACUGAGACACGGACCAGACUCCUACGGGAGGCAGCAGUGAGGAAUAUUGGACAAUGGGCGCAAGCCUGAUCCAGCCAUGCCGCGUGCAGGAUGACGGUCCUAUGGAUUGUAAACUGCUUUUAUACAGAAGAAACACUCCCGACGUGUCGGAGCUUGACGGUACUGUAAGAAUAAGGAUCGGCUAACUCCGUGCCAG
rnacentral:rRNA from 1 species